rnacentral:lncRNA from 1 species
ACUUGUUCUUCCUCUUUUAAUUCUUUUUUUAAUCUUGCAGUUAUCUUCCCCUUGAAUAAUCUGGUGUGUUUUUAAAACCAGAAUCAUUAUUUAAAAGAUGCCAUCAGAUCAGUCCUGUUCGCUCCUAUUCAGAAUGAGGUCAAUGGGUCUUCAAGAUAUGGUCAGACUGGAAUUACUGCUGAAUAAGUGACUGGAUUGGAUACCCAUUGUGUGGAGCCCAUUGUGGCUCCAGAAAUAACUGUAAUAAUGACAUGGACAAAAAUGUCAAGAGAAAUUGGGAUGUCUGGAUCAACCAACUGGGAGUUGGAUGUGAUUGAUGUUCAGGAGCAUUUUGCCUCUAAGACAGUCAUAGAUUGGUUACAUCCUACUAUCAAGCUCUAAUUAUGUAUCUUCUCUUUGAUCCUUAAGGCAAAUAAACUGCAUGUUCUCUUAUCCUUAACCCAAAAGAUUAAAUGCAAUAUCAAAUCAUGCAUUGUGG